UCUCUCUCUCUCUCUCUCUCUCUCUCUCUCUCUCUCUCUCUCUCUCUCUCUCUCUCUCUCUCUCUCUCUCUCUCUCUCUCUCUCUCUCUCUCUUUAAAGGCUUAAAUUCAAAUUGGUUCUGUUUUGUGCAGCAUUUCAAAAAGUAGAUGUUUUUUUUUUUUUGGUAAAUGUUCAGCAUUCUGUUGUGUCACCUGAUGAGUGGAUAACUUGUUUUUUUUUGGAUAAGGACACAUGGAGUCGUGGGAUCAUAUGAUGGACAUUUGGGAUCCCAAAUAGCACACAGCCUAAGUGUGUGUUGCAUUUGUGCUUGACAUUGAAUAUUUUGAAAUGGGAUAUUUUUUCAAAGACCCAAAAAAGGGAUUUCCUUUUCCAUCUUAGACUCUAUGGCAACUGGUUACCAUCCAGAUGCCUCUUUUUAAGGUUUUGGGAAUUUACUAGUCAACAAGAACUUCCAUAUAGGUGGGAUGAAUAGCAUUCUUUGGACUCUUAGCUUGUUGUACAUGCGUGGGCUUAGCAAACCUUGAUAUAGAACAUGUGUAAAGUUAGAAUGUUCACCUACAAUCCAUUGGAUUUUGAUCCGAUUCAUGUUGAGGGAUCUGUUAUGCUUUUGGAUCGAUUCCAGUAAUCAUCAUUAGAAACUAUUGUAAUUUCAGGUAUAAACAAUCAUACAGUGGUCAGUCUACUAUCUUCAUCUUCUUUCAUACAAGGUACAAACAAUCAGAGGGUUUUAUGGCCUAAAAAUGUUUUUUUCUAUUUUCUUUGUGUUAAUGUGUGUAAAGAUCAACUCAUGCAAUGGAAUGAACUUUGGAGAUACUUUUGUUGGCCCAAAUUGACCAAACAAGCCUGUGUUAUGGACUGAGAACUGGACUGCUCAGUAGAGAGUAUUUGGUGACCCACCAUCUCAGAGAUCAGCUGAAGAUCUUGCAUUCUCAGUUGCUCGCUUCUUCUCUAAACUACCACAUGGUAUGCCUUGGGGUCAAGUUCUGUAGCAAUCGCUUCACCAUUCAUUUAAUUGAUUGAAAGAGAGAAAUCACUUCCGCCUGAAGAAGUUUAUCGUUCUGCUUAUAUUGGCAGUAUCAUGGUGGAACGAACUUUGGCAGAAUAGCUUCCUCGUUUGUAACAACUCGCUGUUACGAUGAAGCUCCUCUCGACGAAUAUGAUUUUCAGAAGGAACGCAAGUGGCGUCACCUCAGGGACUUGCACUCUGCUCUGAGACUUCAAGGGAAGGCUUUGCUUUGGGGGCUUCCCACUGUUUACACAAUGGGGAAGGACAUAGAGGCCCAUGUUUAUGAGAAGCCAGGAACUAGUGUGUGAGCUGCCUUCCUCACCAACAAUGAUACUAGAGUAGCUGCAACUGCAACCUUCAAAGGUGUUGAAUUUUAUCUACCCCCUCAUUCGAUCAGUAUUCUCACUGAUUGCAAGACUGUGGUCUUCAACACUCAAAGGGUAACUUCACAACACAAUGCAAGGGGCUAUCAUCUAGUGAAGGAAUCUCACAAGGACAAGGAGUGGAAAAUGCAUCAAGAGAAGAUCCCAACAAUCAGUGACACUUAUAUUAGAUCAAUGGCCCUAUUAGAACUCAUGAACUUAGUAGGAUAGAACAGAUUACCUCUGGUAUAUUUUAAGAGCUUUGCUUAACGUUAGAUGUAUUUUGGAUAUCGUAUUUGUAUCUGGACCGAAUCUUGUUAGUACAAUGGAAGCUUUGCUCUUUCCUUUCUCCAUUUGGAAAUUGUAUCUGUAUUUGCAAAACUAUGUGUCUUGGAUCAGAGCAGUUUCAUGAUUAUCGCUUAUAUACUCCUGAAUUUGAGCUAAUCGGACAGUGUCUGUUAUCCAAGUAACCAAUGGGUUUCUGGUUGUUUCUUUUGCUUUGUUUCCUAGCUAUUUUGUAGCAGCAGAUCUCUUUGGCUUUUGGAUGUUUGCCUUCGUAUGUGCUUCAACCUGCUUUUCAACAUGAGCUGGACAGACAGGAGAGGCCUAGCUAAUCCGAGCUAACUGUGUCAGCUGUUGCAAGCCCAAUGACACCAAACAUUGGUUUUUCGAGUGUGUUUCCUUGUAGUACCCUUUGUCUAUAUGCUAAUGCUACGUAACAAUUUGAUAUAGUAGGGUGCAUCUGUAGCUUGUUUUGAAAAUUUUAAAUGGACAGAUAACUUUUUUGUUGGUA